rnacentral:tRNA from 1 species
CGCGGGGUGGAGCAGUCUGGUAGCUCGUCGGGCUCAUAACCCGGAGGUCGGAGGUUCAAAUCCUCCCCCCGCAACCA